UACGUAGGUGGCAAGCGUUGUCCGGAUUUACUGGGCGUAAAGAGCGCGCAGGCGGUUGGAUAAGUCGAAUGUGAAAGCCCCCCGGCUCAACUGGGGAGGGUCAUUCGAUACUGUCCGACUCGAAGGCAGGAGAGGGAAGCGGAAUUCCCGGUGUAGUGGUGAAAUGCGUAGAUAUCGGGAGGAACACCAGUGGCGAAGGCGGGUCUCUGGGCCGAUACUGACGCUGAGGAGCGAAAGCGUGGGGAGCGAACAGG
rnacentral:rRNA from 1 species